UACAAUGGAGAGUUUGAUCCUGGCUCAGGAUGAACGCUAGCGGCAGGCUUAAUACAUGCAAGUCGAGGGGCAGCAGGUCUGUAGCAAUACAGAUGCUGGCGACCGGCAAACGGGUGCGGAACACGUACAGAACCUUCCUUCGAGCGGGGAAUAGCCCAGAGAAAUUUGGAUUAAUACCCCAUAGUAUACUAAAGAGGCAUCUCUUUGGUAUUAAAGAUUUAUCACUUGAAGAUGGCUGUGCGGCUGAUUAGGUAGUUGGCGGGGUAAAGGCCCACCAAGCCUGCGAUCAGUAACUGGUGUGAGAGCACGACCAGUCACACGGGCACUGAGACACGGGCCCGACUCCUACGGGAGGCAGCAGUAAGGAAUAUUGGUCAAUGGACGCAAGUCUGAACCAGCCAUGCCGCGUGAAGGAUGAAGGUCCUCUGGAUUGUAAACUUCUUUUAUAUGGGACGAAAAAGGGGCUUUCUAGCUCAACUGACGGUACCAUUUGAAUAAGCACCGGCUAACUCCGUGCCAGCAGCCGCGGUAAUACGGAGGGUGCAAGCGUUAUCCGGAUUCACUGGGUUUAAAGGGUGCGUAGGUGGGUUGGUAAGUCAGUGGUGAAAUCCCCGAGCUUAACUCGGGAACUGCCAUUGAUACUAUCAGUCUUGAAUACCGUGGAGGUCAGCAGAAUAUGUCAUGUAGCGGUGAAAUGCUUAGAUAUGACAUAGAAUACCAAUUGCGAAGGCAGCUGGCUACCCGAAUAUUGACACUGAGGCACGAAAGCGUG
rnacentral:rRNA from 1 species